UAAGGAAUAUUGGUCAAUGGGCGCAAGCCUGAACCAGCCAUGCCGCGUGCAGGAGGACGGCCCUAUGGGUUGCAAACUGCUUUUGUCAGGGAAUAAACCCCCGCUCGUGAGCGGGGCUGAAGGUACCUGAAGAAUAAGCAUCGGCUAACUCCGUGCCAGCAGCCGCGGUAAUACGGAGGAUGCAAGCGUUAUCCGGAUUCAUUGGGUUUAAAGGGUGCGCAGGCGGAUCGGUAAGUCAGGGGUGAAAUCCCACAGCUCAACUGUGGAACUGCCUUUGAUACUGUCAGUCUAGAGUAUAGUUGAAGUGGGCGGAAUGUGUCAUGUAGCGGUGAAAUGCUUAGAUAUGACACAGAACACCGAUCGCGAAGGCAGCUCGCUAAGCUAUAACUGACGCUCAUGCACGAAAGCGUGGGGAUCAAACAG
rnacentral:rRNA from 1 species